GAUGAAGAACGUAGCGAAAUGCGAUAAGUAAUGUGAAUUGCAGAAUUCGGUGAAUCAUCGAAUCUUUGAACGCACAUUGCGCCCGCCAGUAUUCUGGCGGGCAUGCCUGUUCGAGCGUCAUUUCAACCAUCAAGCCCCCGGCUUGUGUUGGGGACCUGCGGCUGCCGCAGGCCCUGAAAAGCAGUGGCGGGCUCGCUGUCACACCGAGCGUAGUAGCAUACAUCUCGCUCUGGGCGUGCUGCGGGUUCCGGCCGUUAAACCACCUUCAUAACCCAAGGUUGACCUCGGAUCAGGUAGGAAGACCCGCUGAACUUAAGCAUAUCAAAAGCGGAGGA
rnacentral:misc_RNA from 1 species